CGGCCAACACAGAACGUCAGCUAGAAGCCAUGCCAUUACAUCAACGCAGCUCCGCCCAAUCUUACCAUGCUCAACCAGUUCUCACCGCACCACCACAACCCCUACUUCUCAAAGGAUCAUCAUCCAAGACGAAGACCACUAUCAAGGUGCCAAUCGGCACAAGGGUCCUUCCACCUAGACCCAAUGAAAGGGUCGUUGGAGUCAAGACCAACCGAAGCGGCG
rnacentral:lncRNA from 1 species